CAGCGGUAGUCACUCGAAGCAACUCGCAGGUGAACGACGACGACAACGACAACGACGGCUGCUCCGUGUGUGCGUGUGAGUGUGUGUGUAUAAUGUAUGGCUGUGCGCGAUGCACUUCGAACCGCAGUAUGUCGGGUGAAACGGUGGCAGCUGCCCGGCAUCGUCAAAGUGGUGCCUGCUGAAUUGGGCCUAGUCUUUUGAUUACUUUUAUAAAUCCUCGUAUAACGCGAUAUAGUUACAGCAGAUGGAUUUAGAGCCGCACGAUUUGGUUGGCUUUUAAAUUAAGAAGCAGUAAGAGUGAGCUGUUCAUUUUGCGUCCUGUAUACGUGUAUCAUACAUGUAUAAGCGGCAGUGCUUCGGUAGUGUGCUUUUUAUUCAUGAAGCUGAGAAAAAUUCAGAAAUAAAGUGUUAAAAAAAAUUAGAUCAUUAUACAGUGACAGUGUGUCGAGACGCUUAGUUGUGCCACAUAUUAUUUUUUUAUGUGAUUGAAGUGCAAGCAAGAUUGAACAAGAGAAAAGCACAAAGAUCGAGCAAAAUUUCAUCAUUCGCGUAUUCCGCAAUCAGAGUCGCAAUUGUCCGUCAUCUCGAGAGUCAAUCGAGGUUUUGAGGUAUGCUACGAAGGAAAAAGUCAAAAAAGGCAAAAAAGAAUGAGGAAGAGGAAACAGAGUAUGAUUGUGUGUGUAUGGGCAGUCCAACGAGCCCAGAAGUGAAGAGAUAUCGAAUCAAAACCGAGCAACAACAACAACAGCACUAACGGCGGGGCCUCGAGCAGCAGUAUUAGCAGCAGCAG